CACCAGGGUAUGCUGUGGUGCCAGAAGAGAGGGCAGCCAGCCAGCGAGAGGCUGUGUUCCUCAGAGUGAGGACAGUUUGAGAGGUGCAUACACAGCCUUUUCCUGCUCCUCAGAUGUCAGAAAUUAGCUGCUGCCUGUUUACAGGACGUUAGAGGGGAUAAAGACAAAUCUGCAAAAGACCAGAAAGACAUCCAGUCUUGAGUUAAAGUCUACAAGUGACAGAGAAUCCACCACAUCUCCAGAAUCCAACUCCUUCAUGGCUGAUUCCAGAGACAGCUGCCUGUGGAAGACUCCUCAACCGUGGUAGUGUCCUUUUUAGCCAUACUGCAAGGGAGCAGGAAGAGGUACUUUGAGGUUUGGAAGUAUAAGGCAUCUGCCUCCAACAGAUGCCUAGAGAUCUGAGGACUGACCACCUUGUAUUUUCUGAUGGAACUGAAAGAGUGCAGAUGGAAGCAGGGAACAAGAAGAAAAUUGUCCCUGUUGAAAUAAAAAUCCAGGGGGAACUCCUACCACUAAUCCCUCACCCCUUUACUACAUGUGGGGCUGGUUUUCCUCCCCUCCAAUAUUAUAGCCUGAUUUAGAAAAGUGCUGAGCACCCUCAGUUCCAGGUGCAGGUCAUUAAUUUAGAAUGAGAAAAUAAUUCAAAUUGUUGAUAGCUGAAAAGGUAUUAUGAACUCUCACAAACUGUGAAAUUUGAAUCACAGCUCUCCAAGUCAGCUGAUUAGGGUAGUUCCCUAAACAUGAAAACACUGGAUUAUGGUGAAAACAUUUAUGAACUGCACCACAGGAAUCCAUUCUUUUUACUUACUGGCAAAGUACAGGCAUUUUAUUUUUGGAUAUCAUUG